rnacentral:rRNA from 1 species
UACGUAGGGUGCGAGCGUUGCCCGGAAUUAUUGGGCGUAAAGAGCUCGUAGGCGGUUUGUCGCGUCGACUGUGAAAACCUGGGGCUUAACUCUGGGCCUGCAGUCGAUACGGGCAGACUUGAGUUCGGUAGGGGAGACUGGAAUUCCUGGUGUAGCGGUGAAAUGCGUAGAUAUCAAGCGGAACACCGGUGGCGAAGGCGGCCUUCUGGACGAGUACUGACGCUGAGACGCGAAAGCGUGGGUAGCAAACAGG